ensembl:ncRNA ZK1290.19 ncRNA
ACUGCCAACAUAAUGGAACGGGAGUUGUUGAGAACUUCGACGCUUUCUGUGUAUGGGUUGUAACGAACAAUGAAGGGACGUUUCAUGUUGUUGGUGAACAUUCUGAAAUAUUGAAUAGGUUAAACAGAAAAUUGUGAUUAGCUGAAUGUU